rnacentral:rRNA from 1 species
GAUGAGCGCUGGCGGCGUGCCUAAUACAUGCAAGUCGAGCGAACAGACGAGGAGCUUGCUCCUCUGACGUUAGCGGCGGACGGGUGAGUAACACGUGGAUAACCUACCUAUAAGACUGGGAUAACUUCGGGAAACCGGAGCUAAUACCGGAUAAUAUAUUGAACCGCAUGGUUCAACAGUGAAAGACGGUUUUGCUGUCACUUAUAGAUGGAUCCGCGCCGCAUUAGCUAGUUGGUAAGGUAACGGCUUACCAAGGCAACGAUGCGUAGCCGACCUGAGAGGGUGAUCGGCCACACUGGAACUGAGACACGGUCCAGACUCCUACGGGAGGCAGCAGUAGGGAAUCUUCCGCAAUGGGCGAAAGCCUGACGGAGCAACGCCGCGUGAGUGAUGAAGGUCUUCGGAUCGUAAAACUCUGUUAUUAGGGAAGAACAAAUGUGUAAGUAACUAUGCACGUCUUGACGGUACCUAAUCAGAAAGCCACGGCUAACUACGUG